rnacentral:misc_RNA from 1 species
GGGUUGCCGCAAGGCAUCGG